GGCUAUCUGAAGUCUAUAUGUGUCUUUUGGGGUUCUCCAGUUGCUGCCAAUGUGAAAUCUUUGGAUCCUGUGUUAAUUCCCUGCCUGCUCUUCUGUACUUGGCAGUGUAUGUUAUCUCCAAAUUACAGCUGUGACAGAAGCCUUGACUGAUUAAUUUCAACUCUUAUGUAUUUUGAAGAGGUUCACAGUCAGAAUGUGAAAUUAUGUAAAAUGGAAACCUGUGAAGAAAGGCACAGAUAGCAGUGGAAUUAAGUCGUGGAUGAAUUAUUUCCCUUCUUAAGAAUCAGCUUUUUAAAACACUAUGGUGAUUUGGAAAGUCCCAAGAGUGAACUGUGAAGUUUUCUUCAUCUCAAUCAAUGGGUUUCUUAAACAUUUCUCCAAAUCAUUGAUGUUCAGAGAUGAUGUGUGAUGGAAAAAACACCCUGUCUGUGUGUUUAUAGCCCCUGUUUUUUGGAUUAGUUUGCUGUGUUGCUGAACCGAUUUUGUUUCAAGGGCAAGGAGUGAAUGUGAUGGAUUUAUCUUCAGAGAUGAACAAACAUGGAAGGAAUCCAGUAAGUCACAAACUAGAAGAUCAAAAGAAGUGUCUCUGGGUGACUGGUCCUUUCAAAAUCACAAGCAACAGCAAGAUGGAGGGGCACCUGUACAGGAUUUUUUUGUGAAUUGCAAAGCCACUUUGGUAAGGCUUCCUAGACUGCCCUGGAGAUUCCGUGUGCUGAAUCAGAUAUGGACAGUCGUGACAGCAGUGCUACUCCUGCGGUCUGCUCCAGGAGCAAACCAGCCAGUCAGAAUUCCAGGACAGACUCUCCUGCUCAUACUUGAUGGAUGGAAAUCUAAGCCUCUUGAGAUAGAGCCAAAAAAACCUUAUUCCUGUACUGCACACUUAUCAACAUCCACACCUUAUACUAUCUAGAAGUUUGUAAUUUUAUGAUAUAUAAAGAAUGUAAUAGCUAAAAUAAAAUUCUUCUUUAUCAUCUUUCUAAGU